GUUGUGGGAAACCGCGCUGGACGCUGAGAAUGUGCGGAAGGAUCCUGAGGGGAGGACGCGAGACAGCGCGAGGAGAGACGAGGAGAGUUAGGGUUGGCCGGGAGGGUGCGAAGAUGAAGCGACCACUGGAGGCUGUGAGGGUGAAAGGAGCAAGAAUCGUCUAGAGACGGGCUGGGCCGGUGCUGGGGCCAAAGGCUUCUGUCUGUCAGGCCCUUUUUGGCGCUCACUCUAGAAAGAAGAGGCGGAGACGCGAAGAGAUCGGGUUAGAGUCAGAUUUUCGAAGCACGGAGAUGGGUUCAAUGAAAGGACGAGGAAAGACGAGAAACCAGCGGCCGGAGAACGGAGAGUUCAACAAUUUUUAUGAAUUUCUAAUCCAACCUCAUCAUCCUAUGGGAAACAGAAGACCACCAAGAACAGCCAGCUGAUGGAAUCUCAUUCUGUCACCAGGCUGAAGUGCAGUGACGUGAUCUUGGCUCACUGCAACCUCCACCUCCUGGGUUCAAGCGAUUCUCCUGCCUCAGCCUCCUGAGUAGCUGGGAUUACAGGUAUCUUGGCAGUAACCUCCUCCAUAUAUUUCCUUGGCCCUCAGCUUACAUCUAGCAAAAUGACUCUACUGGUUCCAGGCUUCACAUGCAUACAACAUGGUGUUGGAGGAACAGAGAUGUUUUCUCUUCCUGGUGUUUUCCCAGACAUUUCUUAGCUGGCAUUUCAAACAAGGGUCCUGAAAUUCACCCUGGUUGGGUCGUGUUCUCCCCUUCCCAUUCCCCAUCCCCACCCUCAACCGAAAAAUGAUGUAAGCAGGGGAAAUUGAAUGUACCAAUGUUUGUUUUUAAACAAGCCACAGACCCCUCCCCAACUCCCCGACUGAAGCUUGAAGUGGGAUCAGCUUUCCCUAAAGUACUUGAGCUUAUGGUAAAGCAUAUAUGUUAUCCAAGUUAAAGUCUGGACGCUGUUAGUAAUGGGAAGGCAAGUAAUGAAUGUUAGCUAUGGAGCCAACAGACAGUGUCCACUCCAUUGUCUUUAAGGCCCAACUAAAGAUAACCUCUUUACCAAUGUCGGUUUAUUUAUUCAUUUAUUUAUUCAUUGAGAUGGAGUCUCACUCUCUCACCCAAGCUGGAGUGCAGUGGAAUGAUCUCAGCUGACUGCAAUUUCUGCCUCCCAGGUUCAAGCAAUCUCCUGCUUCAGCCUCCCAAGUAGCUGGGAUUACAGGCGCACACCACCAUGCCCGGCUAAUUUUUGUAUUUUUAGUAGAGAUAGGGUUUCACCAUGUUGGCCAAGCUGGUCUCGGACACCUGACCUCAAGUGAUCUGCCUGCCUCGGCCCCCAAAGGUGUGAGCCACUGCACCUGGCUACAAUGUCAGUUUCUAUAAAAACUGCCUUGACUUGUUUUGUUUGCUUGUUUUGUUUGUUUGUGUUUUAAUUUUUAUUAUUUUUUUUUAGAGACAGGGUCUCAAUCUGUUGUCUAGGCUUGAGUGCAGUGGUGCAAUCAUAGCUCACUGAAGUGUUGGACUCCCAGGCUCAAGCAGUCCUCCCACCUCAGCCUCCCAAGUAGCUGAGACUACAGGCAUGCACCACCCUGUCUGGCUAAUUUUUUAUUUUUAGUAGAGAUGAGGUCUCACUAUGUUGCCCAAGGUGGCCUCAAACUCCUGGCCUCAAGUACUCCUGUGGCCUUAGCCUCCCAAAGCUCUGGGAUUGCAGGUAUGAGCCGCCAUGCCUGGCCUACUGUAUAUUUUAUGCAUUUGAUAUAAGUCUUGCCUCCCUAAGUAUAUUACAAGUCCCUUGAAGUUAAAGACAUUAGAUUCCUACUCAGUGCUGAGCUGCAACAGAGAGCACUCAAUGAUGGAUAAAAUAGUUUUAGCAUGCAUUCAGCGAUAUAUAUUUAGAAAGUGGAACUAGGUGGUUGAAAAAAGUGUAUAGAUGGGUGGAAGGGAAUAUUACAGCUCUUAGAAUUGUCCUAAGGUGAGAGUAACAAAUUAAGCAAUGAGUCCCUGGGUUCACUCAAGCAACUUCACUCUCUAAAACAAGAGCCCACAGAAUCCCAUUUCUGCUUUCAGAAUGAGUUUGAGGCCAAUAUUAUUUCCAUUUUUUUUCUUUUUCUUUCUUUCUUUUUUUUUUUUUUUUUUUUGAGACGGAGUUUCACUCUUGUUGCCCAGGCUGUUUUGAUCUCGGCUCACUGCAACCUCUGCCCCUGGGUUCAAGCGAUUCUCCUGUCUCAACCUCCCAAGCUGGGAUUACAAGCAUGCGCUACCACACCUGGCUAAUUUUGUAUUUUUAAUAGAGACGGGGUUUCUCUGUGUUGGUCAGGCUGGUCUCAAACUCCCAACCUCAGGUGAUCUGCCCACCUUGGCCCAGCCUCCAAUAUGAUUUUCUAAUAGCUGUGUUUGAUGAUUAUAUUUAUUCCUCCAUCAGUAGCUUUUUUAGCCUUGAAAAUAUCUAUUUAAGUUUCUUAUUUCCUUUGGAUCUAUCAAAGUGUUUUUCCCCAAGUGGCACCUGGGAAAACAUAUUCUAUUCAUUUAUUUUAUAACUGUUCCCUUGACCUCUUUAUUGCUUCCCUAUUACAACCCAAGAUGCUCUUGUAAACCUGACUUAAUAUUGGCAGUCUUCAUCCCUUGCAAAUGGAAGUGAUGACAGACCCAAUACUUUGUGUAAAAAUAUUUUGCUAUUUCUAUACAAAAUAUUUUAUUAAUGGAAACCACAUGUUAUGUAUUUUACAUAUGUUAUGACUUGAAAUUUAUGUUAUGACUUGAAAUUGGGGAAUCUGAUAUGUCUCUAAUAAUAAAG
rnacentral:lncRNA from 1 species